rnacentral:rRNA from 1 species
UUAAGCGACUAAGCGUACACGGUGGAUGCCCUGGCAGUCAGAGGCGAUGAAGGACGUGCUAAUCUGCGAUAAGCGUCGGUAAGGUGAUAUGAACCGUUAUAACCGGCGAUUUCCGAAUGGGGAAACCCAGUGUGAUUCGUCACACUAUCAUUAACUGAAUCCAUAGGUUAAUGAGGCGAACCGGGGGAACUGAAACAUCUAAGUACCCCGAGGAAAAGAAAUCAACCGAGAUUCCCCCAGUAGCGGCGAGCGAACGGGGAGCAGCCCAGAGCCUGAAUCAGUGUGUGUGUUAGUGGAAGCGUCUGGAAAGGCGCGCGAUACAGGGUGACAGCCCCGUACACAAAAAUGCACAUGCUGUGAGCUCGAUGAGUAGGGCGGGACACGUGGUAUCCUGUCUGAAUAUGGGGGGACCAUCCUCCAAGGCUAAAUACUCCUGACUGACCGAUAGUGAACCAGUACCGUGAGGGAAAGGCGAAAAGAACCCCGGCGAGGGGAGUGAAAAAGAACCUGAAACCGUGUACGUACAAGCAGUGGGAGCACGCUUAGGCGUGUGACUGCGUACCUUUUGUAUAAUGGGUCAGCGACUUAUAUUCUGUAGCAAGGUUAACCGAAUAGGGGAGCCGAAGGGAAACCGAGUCUUAACUGGGCGUUAAGUUGCAGGGUAUAGACCCGAAACCCGGUGAUCUAGCCAUGGGCAGGUUGAAGGUUGGGUAACACUAACUGGAGGACCGAACCGACUAAUGUUGAAAAAUUAGCGGAUGACUUGUGGCUGGGGGUGAAAGGCCAAUCAAACCGGGAGAUAGCUGGUUCUCCCCGAAAGCUAUUUAGGUAGCGCCUCGUGAAUUCAUCUCCGGGGGUAGAGCACUGUUUCGGCAAGGGGGUCAUCCCGACUUACCAACCCGAUGCAAACUGCGAAUACCGGAGAAUGUUAUCACGGGAGACACACGGCGGGUGCUAACGUCCGUCGUGAAGAGGGAAACAACCCAGACCGCCAGCUAAGGUCCCAAAGUCAUGGUUAAGUGGGAAACGAUGUGGGAAGGCCCAGACAGCCAGGAUGUUGGCUUAGAAGCAGCCAUCAUUUAAAGAAAGCGUAAUAGCUCACUGGUCGAGUCGGCCUGCGCGGAAGAUGUAACGGGGCUAAACCAUGCACCGAAGCUGCGGCAGCGACGCUUAUGCGUUGUUGGGUAGGGGAGCGUUCUGUAAGCCUGUGAAGGUGUGCUGUGAGGCAUGCUGGAGGUAUCAGAAGUGCGAAUGCUGACAUAAGUAACGAUAAAGCGGGUGAAAAGCCCGCUCGCCGGAAGACCAAGGGUUCCUGUCCAACGUUAAUCGGGGCAGGGUGAGUCGACCCCUAAGGCGAGGCCGAAAGGCGUAGUCGAUGGGAAACAGGUUAAUAUUCCUGUACUUGGUGUUACUGCGAAGGGGGGACGGAGAAGGCUAUGUUGGCCGGGCGACGGUUGUCCCGGUUUAAGCGUGUAGGCUGGUUUUCCAGGCAAAUCCGGAAAAUCAAGGCUGAGGCGUGAUGACGAGGCACUACGGUGCUGAAGCAACAAAUGCCCUGCUUCCAGGAAAAGCCUCUAAGCAUCAGGUAACAUCAAAUCGUACCCCAAACCGACACAGGUGGUCAGGUAGAGAAUACCAAGGCGCUUGAGAGAACUCGGGUGAAGGAACUAGGCAAAAUGGUGCCGUAACUUCGGGAGAAGGCACGCUGAUAUGUAGGUGAAGUCCCUCGCGGAUGGAGCUGAAAUCAGUCGAAGAUACCAGCUGGCUGCAACUGUUUAUUAAAAACACAGCACUGUGCAAACACGAAAGUGGACGUAUACGGUGUGACGCCUGCCCGGUGCCGGAAGGUUAAUUGAUGGGGUCAGCGCAAGCGAAGCUCUUGAUCGAAGCCCCGGUAAACGGCGGCCGUAACUAUAACGGUCCUAAGGUAGCGAAAUUCCUUGUCGGGUAAGUUCCGACCUGCACGAAUGGCGUAAUGAUGGCCAGGCUGUCUCCACCCGAGACUCAGUGAAAUUGAACUCGCUGUGAAGAUGCAGUGUACCCGCGGCAAGACGGAAAGACCCCGUGAACCUUUACUAUAGCUUGACACUGAACAUUGAGCCUUGAUGUGUAGGAUAGGUGGGAGGCUUUGAAGUGUGGACGCCAGUCUGCAUGGAGCCGACCUUGAAAUACCACCCUUUAAUGUUUGAUGUUCUAACGUGGACCCGUAAUCCGGGUUGCGGACAGUGUCUGGUGGGUAGUUUGACUGGGGCGGUCUCCUCCUAAAGAGUAACGGAGGAGCACGAAGGUUGGCUAAUCCUGGUCGGACAUCAGGAGGUUAGUGCAAUGGCAUAAGCCAGCUUGACUGCGAGCGUGACGGCGCGAGCAGGUGCGAAAGCAGGUCAUAGUGAUCCGGUGGUUCUGAAUGGAAGGGCCAUCGCUCAACGGAUAAAAGGUACUCCGGGGAUAACAGGCUGAUACCGCCCAAGAGUUCAUAUCGACGGCGGUGUUUGGCACCUCGAUGUCGGCUCAUCACAUCCUGGGGCUGAAGUAGGUCCCAAGGGUAUGGCUGUUCGCCAUUUAAAGUGGUACGCGAGCUGGGUUUAGAACGUCGUGAGACAGUUCGGUCCCUAUCUGCCGUGGGCGCUGGAGAACUGAGGGGGGCUGCUCCUAGUACGAGAGGACCGGAGUGGACGCAUCACUGGUGUUCGGGUUGUCAUGCCAAUGGCACUGCCCGGUAGCUAAAUGCGGAAGAGAUAAGUGCUGAAAGCAUCUAAGCACGAAACUUGCCCCGAGAUGAGUUCUCCCUGACUCCUUGAGAGUCCUGAAGGAACGUUGAAGACGACGACGUUGAUAGGCCGGGUGUGUAAGCGCAGCGAUGCGUUGAGCUAACCGGUACUAAUGAACCGUGAGGCUUAACCUU